UUUCCAGCUUUACGUUGAGGUCAGAGGCUGUCACUAAAACUUAAUUUGUAUGAUUGGUCUUAUUUAUCUAAUUCAUGGUAGCCCAGUUUAUGAACAUCUAAAAGGGCAAUUUUUCUGAUUAAUGUCAACUUUGAGUUUAGGGUGUAUCCCAGAUUCCUUAGUUGUUCUUAUUUACUCUUAGGGGUAUUUCAGCAAUAAGCAAU
rnacentral:lncRNA from 1 species